UGAAGAUGUCUCUUCACAAGCCUGGCUGAAGGGAAGAAGCAUUUUGAAGCUUGAGGAGACUUUAGCUCCUUUUUUUCUUGUCUAAUUUGUCCACUACCUUCGCACCAUUCCAUUACUCAUGGACAAAGAUUUAGAUUUUGAUUCAAAUGAGCGGCUGCUUGUCACAAUGAUGAUCACCUGGACGGUCUUGCUCCUGUUUUUGAUAAUAGUCUUCACAAAACUAUGCUUUGCUUUCUUCCAUUUCUUUCGUAGAAGGGGUAACAAUUACAGCUUACUUUAAAUAGAAUGUGGCCAUUUUGGAAAAUGCCACACACGAACAUUACAUGGAAAGCAUCCACCUAAUCCACAGGCCAAUGAUGAAAUUUAAAUAAAAAGAUCUCACCAUCAA